GUGUCAGCAGCCGCGGUAAUACGAACUGUGCGAACGUUAUUCGGAAUCACUGGGCUUAAAGGGUGCGUAGGCGGCUCGUCCAGUCAGGUGUGAAAGCCCCCGGCUCAACCGGGGAACAGCGCUUGAAACUAGCGGGCUUGAGUGAGGUAGGGGACCACGGAACUUCCGGUGGAGCGGUGAAAUGUGUAGAUAUCGGAAGGAACGCCGGUGGCGAAAGCGGUGGUCUGGGCCUUGUCUGACGCUGAGGCACGAAAGCCAGGGGAGUGAACGGGAUUAGAUACCCCGGUAAUCCUGGCCGUAAACACUGAGCACUGGAGGGGAGGGGCUUCGGCCGUUCCCCUCGCAGCGAAAGCGUUAAGUGCUCCGCCUGGGGAGUAUGGUCGCAAGGCUGAA
rnacentral:rRNA from 1 species